rnacentral:tRNA from 1 species
AAACAACCGCCGGUUGAACGGAAAUCAUUGAUGUUGAUUAAUAAGAAAAUUUAUUUCGUUGUUUA